GACGAACGCUGGCGGCGUGCUUAACACAUGCAAGUCGAGCGGUAAGGCUCCUUCGGGAGUACACGAGCGGCGAACGGGUGAGUAACACGUGAGCAAUCUGCCCUUCACACGGGGAUAACUCCGGGAAACCGAAGCUAAUACCCGAUACGACCACUUCAGGCAUCUGAUGGUGGUGGAAAGCUCCGGCGGUGAAGGAGGAGCCCGCGGCCUAUCAGCUUGUUGGUGGGGUAAGGGCCCACCAAGGCAACGACGGGUAGCCGGCCUGAGAGGGUGACCGGCCACACUGGGACUGAGACACGGCCCAGACUCCUACGGGAGGCAGCAGUGGGGAAUAUUGGACAAUGGGCGAAAGCCUGAUCCAGCAACGCCGCGUGAGGGAUGACGGCCUUCGGGUUGUAAACCUCUUUCAGCAGGGACGAAGCGCAAGUGACGGUACCUGCAGAAGAAGCACCGGCCAACUACGUGCCAGCAGCCGCGGUAACAC
rnacentral:rRNA from 1 species